UGGCUCAGAGGGUAAAGCGCCUGCCUGCAACGCAGGAGACCCAGGUUUGAUUCCUGG
rnacentral:tRNA from 1 species